rnacentral:rRNA from 1 species
UUAUACCGUGAAACUGCGAAUGGCUCAUUAAAUCAGUUAUCGUUUAUUUGAUAGUACCUUACUACUUGGAUAACCGUGGUAAUUCUAGAGCUAAUACAUGCUAAAAACCCCGACUUCGGAAGGGGUGUAUUUAUUAGAUAAAAAACCAAUGCCCUUCGGGGCUCUUUGGUGAUUCAUAAUAACUUAACGGAUCGCAUGGCCUUGCGCCGGCGACGGUUCAUUCAAAUUUCUGCCCUAUCAACUUUCGAUGGUAAGGUAUUGGCUUACCAUGGUUUCAACGGGUAACGGGGAAUUAGGGUUCGAUUCCGGAGAGGGAGCCUGAGAAACGGCUACCACAUCCAAGGAAGGCAGCAGGCGCGCAAAUUACCCAAUCCCGACACGGGGAGGUAGUGACAAUAAAUACUGAUACAGGGCUCUUUUGGGUCUUGUAAUUGGAAUGAGUACAAUUUAAACCCCUUAACGAGGAACAAUUGGAGGGCAAGUCUGGUGCCAGCAGCCGCGGUAAUUCCAGCUCCAAUAGCGUAUAUUAAAGUUGUUGCAGUUAAAAAGCUCGUAGUUGAAACUUGGGCCUGGCUGGCUGGUCCGCCUCACCGCGUGUACUGGUUCGGCCGGGCCUUUCCUUCUGGAGAGCCUCAUGCCCUUCACUGGGUGUGUUGGGGAACCAGGACUUUUACUUUGAAAAAAUUAGAGUGUUCAAAGCAGGCCUUUGCUCGAAUACGUUAGCAUGGAAUAAUAGAAUAGGACGUGCGAUCCUAUUUUGUUGGUUUCUAGGACCGCCGUAAUGAUUAAUAGGGAUAGUCGGGGGCAUCAGUAUUCAAUUGUCAGAGGUGAAAUUCUUGGAUUUAUUGAAGACUAACUACUGCGAAAGCAUUUGCCAAGGAUGUUUUCAUUAAUCAGUGAACGAAAGUUAGGGGAUCGAAGACGAUCAGAUACCGUCGUAGUCUUAACCGUAAACUAUGCCGACUAGGGAUCGGGCGAUGUUAUUAUUUUGACUCGCUCGGCACCUUACGAGAAAU